UUCCGGUUGAUCCUGCCGGAGGCUACCGCUAUCGGAGUCCGAUUUAGCCAUGCUAGUCGACCGAGCUUCGCGCUCGGGGCGGAUAGCUGAGUAACACGUGGCUAACCUACCCUGUGGAUCGGGAUAACCUCGCUAACGUGAGGCUAAGCCCGAAUAGCAGAGUUCCUCUGGAACGAGAACUCUGUGAAAUGUUACGGCGCCACAGGAUGGGGCCGCGGCUGAUUAGGUCGUUGGUGAGGUAACGGCUCACCAAGCCUAUAAUCAGUAGCAGCCGUGAGAGCGGGAGCUGUCAGUCGUGUUCUGAGACAAGAACACGGGCCCUACGGGGCGCAGCAGGCACGAAACCUUUACAAUGCACGCAAGUGCGAUAAGGGGACUCCGAGUGCAGUCUUCCCACAAGGAAGGCCGCUUUUCUGUACUGUAAGGAGGUACAGGAACAAGGGGUGGGCAACACUGCUGCCAGCCGCCGCGGU
rnacentral:rRNA from 1 species